rnacentral:tRNA from 1 species
GUCCUAAUAGUAUAAAUUAUUACCCUGGUCUUGUAAACCAAAAAUGAAGAAUUAUUCUUCUUAGGACA